CCUACGGGAGGCUGCAGUGGGGAAUAUUGCACAAUGGGCGCAAGCCUGAUGCAGCCAUGCCGCGUGUGUGAAGAAGGCCUUCGGGUUGUAAAGCACUUUCAGCGGGGAGGAAGGCGGUGAGGUUAAUAACCUCAUCGAUUGACGUUACCCGCAGAAGAAGCACCGGCUAACUCCGUGCCAGCAGCCGCGGUAAUACGGAGGGUGCAAGCGUUAAUCGGAAUUACUGGGCGUAAAGCGCACGCAGGCGGUCUGUCAAGUCGGAUGUGAAAUCCCCGGGCUCAACCUGGGAACUGCAUUCGAAACUGGCAGGCUAGAGUCUUGUAGAGGGGGGUAGAAUUCCAGGUGUAGCGGUGAAAUGCGUAGAGAUCUGGAGGAAUACCGGUGGCGAAGGCGGCCCCCUGAACAAAGACUGACGCUCAGGUGCGAAAGCGUGGGGAGCAAACAGGAUUAGAUACCCCAGUAGUC
rnacentral:rRNA from 1 species